AAUGGUCUAGUUUCUGAUGGGCUGUAAUACUUCGGGCUAAUUUCGGUUGCUGGGUUUGGAGUUGGGAGUGGCUGGGGGGUGGCCUGUGACAUACAGGAGGUCAGACCAGAUGAUCUGGUGCUCCUUUCUGACUUUAAAUUCUCUAACCACAGCAUUGCAGAGACCCCAGGAGAGGGCAACAGUUACAAUUCUAAUGAGACCUCCCUGCUUUGGCUACCAAGCACCCAGUCUGGGAAGGAGAAGAGGCGGGUGAAGAGCCCCUGGAGCUGUCCGUCAGCCUGGGAAGGGAGAGAAGGGACUGUGCUGCAGCACCUCCCCCGCCCCCCAGCUGUGGGAGAGGGAGGUGAAGAAAACUAGGAGGAGCAGAGGUUCUUACAAUAAUGUCCAUACUUACCAUCUCAAAAAUGGAUAGAGAACUGAAUCUACAAUCUAUUAUAUUUCCUACACAGCCAUAGUACAUCUGGGUACUAUAACAAGGAAUACAGGAAACAAUAAUUUACUUCACCAUGCAACAUCAAAGAAAAUACCAAUCCACCUACUGGCUUUGUAUAGGUUCAACUCCUUUAGGCUUGCUAUGUCAUACCCAGCAGUAGAAAACAGAGUUCACUGUAUUAAUGAAAAGCAAAAGCUUACCUUUAAAUAAUACACAUAUUAUAGUUAUACAUGUGUAGUUAAGCACUGGAGCAAAUUAUCUAGGCAGGUUGUGGACUCUAUCACUGGAAAUUUUUAAGAACAGGUUAGACAAACACCUGUCAGGGAUGGUCUAGAAGAUAAUACCUAGUCCUGCCUCAGUGCUAGGAAGAGAUAACCUUUUGAGGUGUGACAAAGUGAGAAUUUUUUGUAAUAUAUUUAUGAAGCCUAUGUGUGCCUCAGUUUCCCCUGUAAGCUGCAUUGUUAUCUCGGAGUUGGAAAGGAGCUGUUUGCUCUCAAGGCAGAUGAAGAUGUAGAUAUGGGGCUCGCCGAGCUGUCUGGGUCUUGGUCCCCCAUUGAUGAAGCCCCUGAGAAGAAAAUGGCAAAUCCAGUUGCCUAAACAGUGAGACCUAGCACACAGCGACCCAGAGAGGUAUGGACUUCCUCACCACUCAGCAGCUCAAGAUCAAAGGACUGGAGAGGUAUGUGGUGGGGGAUAAGUGUUCGCUGCUAGAGGCAGUCAGGGCUCUAACCUGAGGUUCUGACCACGGAAGUCUAACAGAUGGAGAGACAGAAAUUGAACAGUGGAGAUCACGAAGCUUAGCUUGGCUUGGUGCUGAGCUACCCAGAAUGGACUAUGCUUUAACCUUCAGUUCUGUAGGCUAACCUAAGCACUUCCUAUGCUGUGUUCCAGAUGACUAAUAAACUUUCCCAUUCUGACAAUGCUGUGUCAGUGAGGUGCAUUCAUCCCUGAAGAGUGUACAAGUCUCCAUCAAGGGUCUGUUUCAGAAUUGUAACUUGUUAAGUUUUAGACACUAGAACAUAUGAUUAUACUUUUGUUUUAUUUGUAACCAUUUUCUGUUUCUAUUGUCUCUACUUAGUAUCACUUACAUCUCUGUUGUUUAUUAAUGAACUCAUUCUUGUUUUAUUAUAAAUCCAUCUCAGCACUGUUCUGUUAAAGUGAAGUGUGCAUCGUCUGCUGGGCCAACAUGCUGGUGUGCAGGGCCGGUGCAAGGAAGUU